rnacentral:rRNA from 1 species
AAUUUUCCGCAAUGGGCGAAAGCCUGACGGAGCAACGCCGCGUGAGGGAAGAAGGUCUUCGGAUCGUAAACCUUUGUCAUCGAGGACGAUAAUGACGGUACUCGAGGAGGAAGCCCCGGCUAACUACGUGCCAGCAGCCGCGGUAAUACGUAGGGGGCAAGCGUUGUCCGGAAUUAUUGGGCGUAAAGGGUGCGUAGGCGGCUUUUUAAGUCAGAUGUGAAAGCCCACGGCUUAACCGUGGGACUGCAUUUGAAACUGGAGGGCUUGAGUGUCGGAGAGGGCAGUGGAAUUCCCAGUGUAGCGGUGGAAUGCGUAGAUAUUGGGAGGAACACCAGUGGCGAAGGCGACUGCCUGGACGAUAACUGACGCUGAGGCACGAAAGCUAGGGGAGCAAACA